rnacentral:tRNA from 1 species
GCCCCUGUAGCUCAGGGGAUAGAGCAACGGCCUCCGGAGCCGUGUGCGCAGGUUCGAAUCCUGCCAGGGGCAC